rnacentral:tRNA from 1 species
GCCCGAGUGGCGGAAUUGGCAGACGCAGCAGACUCAAAAUCUGCCGUUGGCAACAACGUGUGAGUUCGAGUCUCACCUCGGGCACCA